AGUGAACGCUGGCGGUAGGCCUAACACAUGCAAGUCGAACGGCAGCACAGGAGAGCUUGCUCUCUAGGUGGCGAGUGGCGGACGGGUGAGGAAUACAUCGGAAUCUGCCCAGUCGUGGGGGAUAACGUAGGGAAACUUACGCUAAUACCGCAUACGACCUUCGGGUGAAAGAGGGGGAUCGCAAGACCUCUCGCGAUUGGAUGAGCCGAUGUCGGAUUAGCUAGUUAGCGGGGUAAUGGCCCACCAAGGCGACGAUCCGUAGCUGGUCUGAGAGGAUGAUCAGCCACACUGGAACUGAGACACGGUCCAGACUCCUACGGGAGGCAGCAGUGGGGAAUAUUGGACAAUGGGCGCAAGCCUGCUCCAGCCAUACCGCGUGGGUGAAGAAGGCCUUCGGGUUGUAAAGCCCUUUUGUUGGGAAAGAAAUCUUUCAGGCUAAUACCCUGGGAGGAUGACGGUACCCAAAGAAUAAGCACCGGCUAACUUCGUG
rnacentral:rRNA from 1 species